rnacentral:lncRNA from 1 species
CCCUCUAAUAUUCACCUGCAAUUAAUAAUCCCCUCUAAUAUUCACCUGCAAUGUCUUUGCAGCACAAAAAAUGAGGAAAAAACAACAUCGCGAAGGCAAAAUGGCAUUAAGAAUUAUUUCUUUUCUGACUCAUUAACGCGACCUCGCAGUGUGAAAAAUAAGUACGUUAUUUUGAGGCACCUCGGGGAUAUGUGUUUAUUCACCUCGGCGCUGCGCGCCUCGGUGAAUAAAUCACAUAUCCCCUCGUUGCCUCAAAAUAACCUAUACAUAACAU